AAAUAAAGCUGAAUAUUUUACGGAAUGUAUAUGAGGAUCAUAUAAGCAUAGAAAAAAGAUGUAUUUUCGAACGAGUUAUUGUUACAGCUCAAGUUAUAAGUUCCAAUAUUUUAUUUAAUUAUUUCUAUUAGUAGUGUUCUUAGGACAAACGUUAUUAGAAAGCAGACACCGAUAAACAUACAUUAUAAAGAAACAGUGACUGUUUAUAUAGUCGACGGUAUUUGGUAGGAACAUGGGAAAUCACAGAAUCUGUGUCAUAAAAGUGGGUGAUUCCAUUACCAUCACACAUUCCUUUCUUCUUCUAGGACCAGUCCAUUGUGCAUUUACCAUAGUGCGCAAGGGGGGUGAGGUUAGAGAUAGAAAGUAACUACCAUAAAUAAACAAAAAUAAACAUCAGUUAACUCAGUUCUGUUCGUCUGGUCAAUGAGUAUGCCGGAGCACCGUCGAAACGAUAUUGAACCGAUGACAAAGGUCUCAGUUCGCACAGCAACGCCGUUAGGGGUUCGUCAUGGUACACAGAUCAUUUAGAAGUUAUGACGUAGAGCAAGAUGGAGGUCAUGCGGGUUGACCAUUGUUGCAAUGCCAGUCAUAUCGAUUUUGAGGGUUUUACUAUUAUUUAAGGUAGAUGCCCAUUGUUCACAUGAUUGGAUUUGCUAUUGUUCACAUGUAGGUCAUGAGGAUUUGCUAUUGUUCACAUGUAGGUCAUGAGGAUUUGCUAUUGUUCACAUGUAGGUCGUGAGGAUUGCCCAAUGCGCAUUGUUCACAUGUAGGUCAUGAGGAUUUGCUAUUGUUCACAUGUAGGUCAUGAGGAUUUGCUAUUGUUCACGUGUAGGUCAUGAGGAUUUGCUACUGUUCACAUGUAGGUCGUGAGAAUUGCCCAAUGCGCAUUGUUGACAUGUAGGUCGUGAGGAUUGCCCAAUGCGCAUUGUUCACAUGUAGGUCAUGAGGAUUUGCUAUUGUUCACAUGUAGGUCGUGAGGAUUUGCUAUUGUUCACAUGUAGGUCAUGAGGAUUGCCCAAUGCGCAUUGUUCACAUGUAGGUCAUGAGGAUUUGCUAUUGUUCACAUGCAGGUCAUGAGGAUUUGCUAU